rnacentral:tRNA from 1 species
UGGGCGAUCGUCUAAUGGUAGGACAAUGCCCUUUGGAGGCAUUUGUCCAGGUUCGAAUCCUGGUCGCCCAGCCA